CACAACUGUGAAUCAAAAUACGUGCCAAAUAAGAUCAGAGUUCACUCUUACAUUGUAUGAGCCUGUAAUAGUGAUCCUUACAUUUGUGUUAUAUCAAACAUCUUUUAACAUUUAUUUCAUUACAUUUAUUCAUUAUUUGUGGGACAUUUUUCCUCUGUAUGUCAAUGCAAUGUUUCCGUUCAAAGUGAAUAUUACAGUAGCCGACAAAACGAAUACGCUUUGUGUAAAUAAAUCCUCUAUCCUGUUUCAUGAAUAGUUGUGUGAUGAAACUUGAAACAGGAAAACAUUUUCACUGCAGUGCGGCAGUCAAAACACACACUCACAAAAAGUAGACUGCUGGAAAUUAUAUGAACUGUAUUUCAUGUUUACCUUCAUAGUAGCACCAUAGCAGAAUCCAUUGCUCCAGUGUCCAAGAAUGGCCCAUGUUGUCUAGUUGGUCGUACCAUUUUUUCUCCCCCUCGACGCUCAUUUCUUCGAUGGCUAUUGUGAUCCAUGAGUCUUUUUUGGAGUCUUGUUUCAACUUUGUAGCUUCCAUGGACUUGUUUUGCCUUUCCGAGCACUAUUAAACUCGCCGAGCUCGGCAGUAAUAAGUACGUGGGCAUUUCUUCUUGCCGAUUCAAAAAGUUGCAUUGCAUGUCUUAGUUCCCCGAAAAAUGUCCUUCUUGACAUUCACUUUUUGUACCAUUCUUAAAAUAUUGGGAAGGUGGGGGGGCUUCCUCCUCUCAUCAUAACCACUGCUACGCUUUGCGAUAGUGAAUGCAGUUUUUUCUUUUGACCAAACAAUCCGCGGACGAUGUGCUGCCCCAGCUAUGGCGUGUGAUCUGUACAGAUCAUAGAUCAAAGAUGAUCUCUUGGAAACGUGAACUCACGCUGGUGCGCCCUGAUGAAAUUCUUCCCACCACACCCUGUAAAGUCGUCCACAUGUGGUGCAUAUUGGUCACAGUAUUGAUCUCUGAGUUCUGUCAAUAUUACUUCAUAACAUCGAUGACUUAUGCAGGGUUCCGACUCUUCCACUUGCUUUCUAUUUAUGGACCUUUUAAAAACCUUUGAGGGCUAAUUUAGCCAUUUUUAAGGACUUUUUCUCCAUUUAGCAGGGCUUUCACGGUGGAUUUAAAGAACAGAAAGUCACAUAUCACUGAGCUGGUGUUCAAAUCAUUGCUGCCAAAGGAAGGGCAUAUCUUUAAGGGCAAUCAGCUAACCCUUUAUUGGACAUACUGUUUGUCAAAUUGGCCCGAAAUAACCCGUACUGAUCACAUGAUCAUCAUUGAAACUGAUCUGAGAUGGCGGGAAAAGCAGAGCGGGAACCAGGAAGGCAUGUAGCCCGACAGCGGGAUUUGAGGGCAAAGGAAAAAGAUUUUCCGACAAAACUAUUAAUUGGAAGGGUGGGGAAAAUGACACACACAAAUGAAAUGAACACCACAGGUUAUUUUUUAAGGAUUCUUAUUUUAGAAGCUUCUCCUGAUUUUUAUUAACUUUAAGGACCCAUGGGAACCCUGUUAUGUAUCAAUCUGGAUUUACAGUGAUCCCUCGCUACUUCGCGGUUUGUUUAUCGCGGGUUCAGUGCAUUGCAGAUUUUUCCAAACAUUUUAA